AGCGGCGGACGGGUGAGUAACGCGUGGGUAACCUGCCUCAUACAGGGGGAUAACAGUUGGAAACGGCUGCUAAUACCGCAUAAGCGCACAGUACCGCAUGGUACGGUGUGAAAAACUCCGGUGGUAUGAGAUGGACCCGCGUCUGAUUAGGUAGUUGGUGGGGUAACGGCCUACCAAGCCGACGAUCAGUAGCCGACCUGAGAGGGUGACCGGCCACAUUGGGACUGAGACAUGGCCCAA
rnacentral:rRNA from 1 species